UUUUAUGUAGUUUUUGAAAUACCUAAAAUACCCCUAUAUUUAAGCAUCAAACUAUCAUCUCUCUCAGGUCUUUCUCCCUCCUCAUACAGCAGCUUCAACUUCCUCUCAAGAAGCUCUCCAUCCUCACCGGUCCAACAACUUUGAUGGCCUCUCAACGAUCUUCUUCAUCCUCGUAGUUCCAGAAGCUUCCAUUGUCUCUUUUCCUUCUAUCCUCAUCAUUCCAGAAUUUGGUCAAUUCAAGAGAUCGUAGCUUUUCGAAAUUCUUGAUCCAAUCGCGUGGUUGACUCUGGUUGAUUGUUGGUAAAGUUUUGAGGAAUGGGUAUGUGAAGAAAACGUUCAAAAGAUCAUUGACACGCCCUUUAGAGAUGAAACAAUUUGAAAAAGCUGAGGAAAACAGUCCUUGGAAGGAUCUCUUCGUUUACUGGUUUUUCGGUCUCAAAAGAAUCUCUUCGUUCCAUUGGCUUUUUUUGUGAUUCCUUAAUAAUUUGUUAAAGUUUUGCUGUCGGAGUUGGGAGCUUGAUUGCCAUUUGAGAAAAAAAGGGGUUGCUCUGACUUUUUUCUGGGUGAUUUCGGUUAGAAGGGUUGUUGAAAUUUUGUCUAGAUUGGAGGGAUUAAAAUUGAACUAUGUUUUAGAAUUUUGAUGACUGUUUGUGCA